CACGUAGGGCGCAAGCGUUGUCCGGAAUUAUUGGGCGUAAAGAGCUCGUAGGCGGACUGUCACGUCUGCUGUGAAAAGCUGGGGCUUAACCCUGGCCUUGCAGUGGAUACGGGCAGACUAGAGGUAGGUAGGGGAGAAUGGAAUUCCCGGUGUAGCGGUGAAAUGCGCAGAUAUCGGGAGGAACACCGGUGGCGAAGGCGGGUCUCUGGGACAGUUCCUGACGCUGAGGCACGAAGGCCAGGGGAGCAAACGGG
rnacentral:rRNA from 1 species